ACAAUAUACACAUAAAAUCUGGGGGCAUGGUAGUGCCCCCGCCAAGACGAGCUAAGCGAAGCGCAAAGGCACUACUACCUUUUCUCUUAGUGUU